GGGUCCUUAGCUCAGAUGGAAGAGCGCCGGUCUCCAAAACCGGAUGUCGGCGGUUCGAACCCGUCAGGACCUGCCA
rnacentral:tRNA from 2 species